rnacentral:rRNA from 1 species
UACGUAGGUGGCAAGCGUUGUCCGGAAUUAUUGGGCGUAAAGAGCUCGUAGGCGGCUUGUCGCGUCGGCUGUGAAAACCCGCGGCUCAACUGUGGGCGGGCAGCUGAUACGGGCAGGCUAGAGUUCGGUAGGGGAGAUCGGAAUUCCUGGUGUAGCGGUGAAAUGCGCAGAUAUCAGGAGGAACACCGGUGGCGAAGGCGGAUCUCUGGGCCGAUACUGACGCUGAGGAGCGAAAGCGUGGGGAGCGAACAGG